rnacentral:rRNA from 1 species
AUUGAACGCUGGCGGAAUGCUUUACACAUGCAAGUCGAACGGCAGCACGGGUGCUUGCACCUGGUGGCGAGUGGCGAACGGGUGAGUAACAUAUCGGAACGUACCCAGUAAUGGGGGAUAACUAACCGAAAGGUUAGCUAAUACCGCAUACGCCCUGAGGGGGAAAGCGGGGGAUCGAAAGACCUCGCCUUAUUGGAGCGGCCGAUAUCUGAUUAGCUAGUUGGUGAGGUAAAGGCUCACCAAGGCGACGAUCAGUAGCAGGUCUGAGAGGCUGCUCUGCCACACUGGAACUGAGACACGGUCCAGACUCCUACGGGAGGCAGCAGUGGGGAAUUUUGGACAAUGGACGCAAGUCUGAUCCAGCCAUUCCGCGUGCAGGAUGAAGGCCCUCGGGUUGUAAACUGCUUUUGUACAGAACGAAAAGGUUUCUACUAAUACUAGGAGCUCAUGACGGUACUGUAAGAAUAAGCACCGGCUGACUACGUGCCAGCCGCCGCGGUAA